AGCUCCAACAGCGUAUAUUAAAGUUGUUGCAGUUAAAACGCUCGUAGUCGGAUUUCGGGGCGGGCGGGCCGGUCUGCCGAUGGGUAUGCACUGGUCUGGCCGUCCUUCCUUCCGGAGACCGUGCGUGCUCUUAACUGAGUGUGCUCGGGAGACGGAUCGUUUACUUUGAAAAAUCAGAGUGUUUCAAGCAGGCAGCUCGCUCUUGCAUGGAUUAGCAUGGGAUAAUGAAAUAGGACUUUGGUGCUAUUUUGUUGGUUUCGAACACCGAAGUAAUGAUUAACAGGGACAGUCAGGGGCACUCGUAUUCCGCCGAGAGAGGUGAAAUUCUCAGACCAGCGGAAGACGAACCACUGCGAAAGCAUUUGCCAGGGAUGUUUUCA
rnacentral:rRNA from 1 species